GCUGAAGCCAGUCGAAGAUACCAGCUGGCUGCAACUGUUUAUUAAAAACACAGCACUGUGCAAACACGAAAGUGGACGUAUACGGUGUGACGCCUGCCCGGUGCUGGAAGGUUAAUUGAUGGGGUCAGCCGCAAGGCGAAGCUCCUGAUCGAAGCCCCAGUAAACGGCGGCCGUAACUAUAACGGUCCUAAGGUAGCGAAAUUCCUUGUCGGGUAAGUUCCGACCUGCACGAAUGGCGUAAUGAUGGCCAGGCUGUCUCCACCCGAGACUCAGUGAAAUUGAACUCGCUGUGAAGAUGCAGUGUACCCGCGGCAAGACGGAAAGACCCCGUGAACCUUUACUAUAGCUUGACACUGAACAUUGAGCCUUGAUGUGUAGGAUAGGUGGGAGGCUUUGAAGUGUGGACGCCAGUCUGCAUGGAGCCAACCUUGAAAUACCACCCUUUAACGUUUGAUGUUCUAACCUAGGCCCAUAAACUGGGUCGGGGACCGUGUCUGGUGGGUAGUUUGACUGGGGCGGUCUCCUCCUAAAGAGUAACGGAGGAGCACGAAGGUUGGCUAAGCAUGGUCGGACAUCAUGCGGUUAGUGCAAAGGCAUAAGCCAGCUUGACUGCGAGAGUGACGGCUCGAGCAGGUACGAAAGUAGGUCUUAGUGAUCCGGUGGUUCUGAAUGGAAGGGCCAUCGCUCAACGGAUAAAAGGUACUCCGGGGAUAACAGGCUGAUACCGCCCAAGAGUUCAUAUCGACGGCGGUGUUUGGCACCUCGAUGUCGGCUCAUCACAUCCUGGGGCUGAAGUAGGUCCCAAGGGUAUGGCUGUUCGCCAUUUAAAGUGGUACGCGAGCUGGGUUUAGAACGUCGUGAGACAGUUCGGUCCCUAUCUGCCGUGGGCGUUGGAAGAUUGAGAGGGGUUGCUCCUAGUACGAGAGGACCGGAGUGAACGCACCACUGGUGUUCGGGUUGUCAUGCCAAUGGCAUUGCCCGGUAGCUAAGUGCGGAAGAGAUAACCGCUGAAAGCAUCUAAGCGGGAAACUUGCCUCGAGAUGAGUCUUCCCUGUC
rnacentral:rRNA from 1 species